GUCUGGCAAGUUAGAUGUUAGUCUCAACCAAUGCAGUCUGCUCUUUCUGAGCAUCCAUAUACCCAAGCAAAGAGUCCUAAGGACUGCAGUCAGUGAAGCACAGGACAACCGAGGAACUGAUGCUGCUUUUGUAGGCUCUUCCUUGGUUUUGCACCUAAGGAAGACCGAGCCACCUGUGUGUGAUGGAUGCCAGCCGUGCAACAGCGUGCUCUCCUCCUACAUUUACUGACAGCCUUCCACUCUGCCAGCCCCCGACGCCGUCCUUUGCUUUGUGCCACAUUUAGGCUUGCACCCCCUCCAGAGCUCCACCUUUCGAGGCAGCGAGCAAACACUGCUCAGGGCAAUAAACCCUCGGCCCUGGCGGUGACGUGGUAAGGCGGUCGGGUGGCUUAGCAACUGAGCAACGUGGGGCCGGGCACUGCUGCUGUCCCCGUUCAGGACGCUGCUUUGGUAGGCCACGUCCAUGCCUUCGUGCGUGCUCACUCUUAUAAAACACAUGGUUUGCACUAGGGGUAAUGCAAUUAUUCUGUUCUCUUCUGCUGGCUCUCCACCAUGGAGGCAUUGUUUGGUUGUUGUUUGUUUUUUUGCCAGCAGGACAGCGUUGUGCAACACAGGCUAAGGACCUAAGCAUGGGAAAUGGGGAGAGCUCACCCCUCAGGGCUGUCCGGCCACAAACCGACCCUCCCUGCCCUAACAUCGUCGUCCCCGUAAGGGUGUUGUGCCACCUGCGUUAGGCAGAGGGCUCGGCCCUGGCACGAGCAGGCAGUGACGAGGCCCCUCGUGGGCUGUGCAGCCGGAGCAGCACGAGCGGGGCCACGCGUGCACGGCAGGUUUUCGGCAGGGCCACGCUCGGCGCGCCGCAGCUUUUCCUUCCGUCCCCCAGCACACCGCCUUAAUUGGGGGAACUGCUGUGUUCGUUUCCCUCCUGCCCUGCUACACCAUUCUCCAGCAGUGUCAGAUGAGCCAACAGCCACAUGCCUCAGGAUGUGAUCUCACUCUGCUGCAGGGAAGCAGGCAGCAUCCCCUGGGUCAGUUUUACAAUGUCAAGAAGAAUGGCAAAGCUGCACGGCACGCACGCAUAAGAUGUUGUGCUCCUGGAAAGCUUUGGAUGGGCGCCAGGCAACAUUUGGUGGCAAAGAGAGAUGGUCUUGGAAAAAGGCAACCAGCCAAGCCCUCAUCCCACAACCUUAUGGUUCCUGUGCAGUGUUGAUGCUAUUGGAGCAUGGAAGGACAGUGAGCAUGCCUUCCUGCAGUGGCACACGUCUUGGUGAGU